GAAGAAUUUGUGACCGGUCAUUCAGAAAGACAGAAAACGACGGAAAUUCGGAAACGGACAAGAGAGCAGCACUGGUGGGCAUCAGUCACGAGUUGUGGUGGUGAGAGCAGGAGCUCGAAACCUCUACUCUCUUUUUGAAGAAGAAUUUAAUUGUUCGUCAACAUAUUGAGUAUCAGGAAAAGAGAAAAGGUAAUCAGAUAUGGAAAUUGGUAGUGUUCACAUAACCCCCACUUGAUGCAUGAAUUGUAGGAUUUGAAGCUUCUCUGGUUGCUGCAGGUACAUUGUAUAAAGAAAGAGUUACACUAAGUGUGUUAGCACUAAGUAAAUGAGAUGGAAUUCUAAUCCUAAACGAAGUUUUAGACGAGCCGCAGUGAAAAAGGAUUGUUUUAAAUGGGCCACAACCCAAGAAUCUACAUAUGGGUAUUUGACUGGUCAAAAAUUGAUUUGCCAAUGAGAUUGAAUCAGUUUUUGCAGAUGGAAAUAAACCUUUUUGGACUACUGCUGUGAGACCUAAUGAUUUGCAGGAAAAUGUCACAGAGGUCCAGCAAAGAUAGGAGAGUAUGGCAUAUCGUCUCGGCAUGCACCCCUCAACAAGAGAAUAGUGAUGAGGAGGAGGAGGAAUUCGGAGAAAAAUUAGAAUACAUAUAUCAAGAGUCUUUCUAAUGAAGUGAACUACUAGUGUUAUCUGGGAACAUGAAUGCCCAUGUAGGCGAGAGUUCUGAUGGUUUUUGAAAAAAUACAUGGGGGAGGAAGUUUGGAAAGAAAAAAAAACCAGGAAGGUGAAAGGUUAUUGCAAUUAACAGAGGCUAAGAAUCUGGUAAUCUUGAAUAAUACACAGUUUGAGAAAAGGAAAAGUCAUCUGGUAACAUACAAAAGUGGACAAAAAUGAGACAAAAGGGUUCAAAAGCUGUGAAGGAAAAGAACAUAGCCAGAAGAGGGUGGAUAGAAGAUAACUACCAAACAAAAGAGGAGUAUAGACAGACAAAGAGGGAAACAGAGUGGUAGCAAUUGCAAAGGGAGAAGCCAGGAGAGAAUGGUAUAAGAUAAUGGGAACACCUGAGGGAGAAAAGAUAAUCUACAGAAUUGCAGAAGUGAGAAGAAAAGACAGGCAGGAUGUAGGAAAGGUAGGAAUUAUUAAAGAUGAAAAUUAUUAAAGAUGAAAAUAUCUUGAUUGCGGAAGAGGUAGUCAACAGAAGAUGGAGAGACUAUUAAACAAUGAGAAUGAGUGUGAAAAACUGGAAAAUGUUCCUCCAGUAAAGGACCAAUAGCAAAUAUCAGAGAGAGUGAAGUCAAGAACACUAUAAAGGAAGAAAAAGUAAAUAAAGCUGCAGGAAAGUCAGAAGUAACAUUAGAAAUAAUUAAAGCACUGUGAAAUCUAGGAAAAGCGUGGUUGCACACAGUUUGAAAAUAUCUAGGAUGCAGAGGAAAUGCCAAGGUACUUGAAUGAUGGUUGGAAGAUUGAAAUGUAUAUGCAAAAGGAGAAAUAUUUAAACCUGGGAACUAUAUAGGAAUGAACCUUUUGGAGCAUAUAUUGAAGAUACUAGAAAGAAUAGUAUCAGAAAGGUUGCGAGAGUUGACAGAUAUAUACAUAAGCAGCAGGUUAGGUUUAUGAAAG